UUCUGGGAUUACAGGUGUAAGCCACUGUGCCCAGCUGUAUUUAUUGAAUUAUUAUUAUUUUCAGUCUUGGAGUUGAAGAUAAGUAAAACUCAGUUAAGACCCAGAUGCUACCACUUCCUAACUUAAAUAGAUAUUUGUAAAAUUAUCCAAGCCUUUAAAUAGAAAAUGAAAAUAAGAAUAAUUAUGAAAUAUAAAAUCUAUGUUCACCUAAUAUGAUUUUUUUGAGAAUUGAAUGAGAGCAUAUAUGAAGACCCAAAUGCAGUUCCUGGACACAAUAAGUGUUCAAUAACUAUUAGAUAUCUGGGUUUCCAUCCUCUUGAUAAGAAAUGGACAAGGCCAUUCUCAUAUCCCAAUUCUGUGAUACACCUGGGCGAAAUUCUGCAUCUUGUCAGCCAACAUACCUUAGCCAUUUAUUCCUGAAGGAGACCUUUGGAAUGACAGGAGGGCACAUGAGUUUGACCAUGGUUCUGUAGUGCUUGCCUAAGGAGACGAUGAGACACAAUCAAUUCCAGUUUGCCUGUGGCAAAAUAAGUUAAAAAUUGAAAAUUUGAGUUGAUGAAUAGGAAGUAGGAGGGCAGUCAGUCUAACAAAUUGGUAAAUGUAACUAGCCCUUUGGGUCUAAUAUUGGAAUCUGGUACUUGGAAGAUGUAUUGUUUUGAUUUUUGUAUGUACAUUGUUGUUCUUUUCUGAUUCAGUAAAUUCUGUGUUAGCUAUGGUAAGUGAAACAAAAGGAAAGCAUUGGUGCAAUUUUGCCCUCAUGGGAAUUGGUCUACUUUGUUGAAGCUAGCUUGAGGUGUCAUUGGGAAUGUGGAUGCUAGAGCCCCACUCUCGGUCAGUACCAUUUAUGUAACUGACCCCAAAUUAAAAAUAGUUACUCCCUCUUUUUUAUUCAAACCAUUUUGUAUCCUGAGUAAGGUGGCUUCUGUACGUGCCCUAGAAAGAUUUUCCUCAUUUGUAUAGUCACAAAGGCAAGCGUCUCAAAACUGGGCAUCUUUCAAUACCACUUAAGCCUUCCUUUACGGUGUAGCAAACAGCUGAGAGGAAACAUGUGGUCAACUCUUAACUGUAGUGCCGUCAGAAAUCCCGGUCUCCAUAUUUCCUGCGGUGUCUGCCCUAGUACUUGCCUUUUAAUUAUGGCCACCCGCAGUUUUACCUUUGAAAGCCAAUGUUUGAUGUGCAAGACUAAGCUUAAGAGAAAGCAAAAGUUGAUGCUAUAAUAAAUUUGUUUCUGGAAAAAAAAAAAAAGAGUCUCCAGCAAAGUUAUUUUUAGAUAAUGUGUUUACUGGUUAUUCAUGUGAACUGUGUCAAAAAAAGUUACCUUUAUAUAGGAUUAAUUUAAAUAGAAUAUUUGGAUAAAAUAGACACCACAUAAAGGCAGAAGAGUUGCUGUUUCUCUAUACACAUGGCAUUGGAUUUCAUGCAAAUGGUAUAUUUGAAAGGAAAGAAUAUAAUCAUUUAAA